rnacentral:rRNA from 1 species
CGCUAGCUACAGGCUUAACACAUGCAAGUCGAGGGGCAGCAUGGUCUUAGCUUGCUAAGGCCGAUGGCGACCGGCGCACGGGUGAGUAACACGUAUCCAACCUGCCGUCUACUCUUGGACAGCCUUCUGAAAAGGAAGAUUAAUACAAGAUGGCAUCAUGAGUCCGCAUGUUCACAUGAUUAAAGGUAUUCCGGUAGACGAUGGGGAUGCGUUCCAUUAGAUAGUAGGCGGGGUAACGGCCCACCUAGUCUUCGAUGGAUAGGGGUUCUGAGAGGAAGGUCCCCCACAUUGGAACUGAGACACGGUCCAAACUCCUACGGGAGGCAGCAGUGAGGAAUAUUGGUCAAUGGGCGAGAGCCUGAACCAGCCAAGUAGCGUGAAGGAUGACUGCCCUAUGGGUUGUAAACUUCUUUUAUAAAGGAAUAAAGUCGGGUAUGGAUACCCGUUUGCAUGUACUUUAUGAAUAAGGAUCGGCUAACUCCGUG